rnacentral:rRNA from 1 species
UACGGAGGGUGCAAGCGUUAAUCGGAAUUACUGGGCGUAAAGCGUGCGUAGGCGGUUGUUUAAGUCUGAUGUGAAAUCCCCGGGCUCAACCUGGGAAUGGCAGUGGAUACUGGACAGCUAGAGUGUGUCAGAGGAUGGUGGAAUUCCCGGUGUAGCGGUGAAAUGCGUAGAGAUCGGGAGGAACAUCAGUGGCGAAGGCGGCCAUCUGGGACAACACUGACGCUGAGGCACGAAAGCGUGGGGAGCAAACAGG